rnacentral:rRNA from 1 species
CGUAACAAGGUUUCCGUAGGUGAACCUGCGGAAGGAUCAUUGUCGAGCCCGCACGAGCCGGACGACCCGCGAACACGUCACAAUCACGCGAGGGGGCAAGGGAGCGUCGGCCCCCGGCCCCCUCGGCCGUCAGGAGGCGCCUCCAACCCCGUCGGCGCCCCCACCCGGGGGCGGCGGCCGUGGGAUCGGGGGGCGCACGCCCUGAUCAAACAACGAACCCCGGCGCGAGAAGCGCCAAGGAACUCUAACGGGACGGGCCCUCGUCGCAGCCUCGGCAUCGGGGCGCGCAAGGCGAGGGCCGUCGUUUUGGAAACGAAGAAAAACGACUCUCGGCAACGGAUAUCUAGGCUCUCGCAUCGAUGAAGAACGUAGCAAAAUGCGAUACUUGGUGUGAAUUGCAGAAUCCCGUGAAUCAUCGAGUCUUUGAACGCAAGUUGCGCCUGAAGCCACUAGGCCGAGGGCAAGUCUGCCUGGGCGUCACGCACCCGUCGCCCCCAAGCCCCCCGCCCCCCACGCGGGGCGGGCGGGCGGGGGCGGACGUUGGCCUCCCGUGGACGAGGACGCCCCCGGUUGGCCCAAAAUCGUCCCCGCGGCGGCAUGCGCCACGACGAGCGGUGGUCGUCCACACACUCGAACCGCUCCCGGCGGGAGCGGCUUGGCGUCGCGCGCGCGGCCUCGCCGUCGGGGUCCCGGAAAGAUGACGCAGACCCUCGAUCGCGACCCCAGGUCAGGCGGGAACACCCGCUGAGUUUAAGCAUAUCAAUAA